GGGAUUCUCCCACCUCAACCUCCCAAAGUGCUGCGAUUACAGGUGUGAGCCACUGUGCCGGACCUAAAGGACUCUUUGAGCAUCAAAGAGUGAUGCUGAAUGUGUGAUUUCUCCUUUCUGAGAUGUUAUCUUGUUAUCUGUGAAGUGGGGGAUCUGGCUGAGCCACUAGGGGUUUAUCAGAUGUGUUUUUGAACUUGAGCAAUUGAUGGCUAGGAGGCUCAGUUUUGUCAUUUGGAAAAUGGAGUUGCUGAUACCUCAAUCCUUGGAGAACAACUGCAAGCACUAGAGUUCGAGUGGAGGUUGCAGUGAGCCAUGCUCUCACCAUUGCACUCCAUCUCAAAAAAAAAAAAAAAAAAA
rnacentral:lncRNA from 10 species